UAAAACAAGUUCGGAGAGGUCCGAAAGUCACUGUCCCUAUCUACUAUCUAGCGAAACCACAGCCAAGGGAACGGGCUUGGAAUAAUUAGCGGGGAAAGAAGACCCUUUUGAGCUUGACUCUAAUCUGGCAGUGUAAGGAGACAUAAGAGGUGUAGAAUAAGUGGGAGAUAUUAGACCUCGGUUUGGUAUCGUCAAUGAAAUACCACUACUCUUAUUGUUUCCUUACUUACUUGAUUAAAUGGAACGUGUAUCAUUUCCUAGCCAUUAUACGGAUAUAUUUAUUAUAUCUUAUGGUAUUGGGUUUUGAUGCAAGCUUCUUGAUCAAAGUAUCACGAGUUUGUUAUAUAAUCGCAAACAAAUUCUUUAAUAAAACGAUGCAUUUAUGUAUUUUUGAUUUAAAAAAAUGGAAUAACACCGAUAGCUCAGGUACGAUCCAAUUCAAUCACAUUGCUAGGUAGGGAGGAA
rnacentral:ncRNA from 1 species